rnacentral:rRNA from 1 species
ACAGCAGCCGCCGCGGUAAUACGAAGGGUGCAAGCGUUACUCGGAAUUACUGGGCGUAAAGCGUGCGUAGGUGGUGGUUUAAGUCCGUUGUGAAAGCCCUGGGCUCAACCUGGGAAUUGCAGUGGAUACUGGGUCACUAGAGUGUGGUAGAGGAUAGUGGAAUUUCCGGUGUAGCAGUGAAAUGCGUAGAGAUCGGAAGGAACAUCUGUGGCGAAGGCGACUAUCUGGGCCAACACUGACACUGAGGCACGAAAGCGUGGGGAGCAAACAGGAUUAGAUACCCCGUAGUCCUGUCUCUAUACACA